rnacentral:misc_RNA from 1 species
GAUUAAGAACGCAGCGAAAUGCGAUAAGUAAUGUGAAUUGCAGAAUUCAGUGAAUCAUCGAAUCUUUGAACGCACAUUGCGCCCAUUAGCAUUCUAGUGGGCAUGCCUGUUCGAGCGUCAUUUCAACCCUUAAGCCCUGUUGCUUAGCGUUGGGAGCCUACAGUACUGUAGCUCCCCAAAGUUAGUGGCGGAGUCGGUUUCACACUCUAGACGUAGUAAUUUUUUCUCGUCUGUAGUUGAGCCGGUCCCCUGCCGUAAAACACCCAAUUUAUCAAGGUUGACCUCGGAUCAGGUAGGAAUACCCGCUGAACUUAAGCAUAUCAAUAAGCGGAGGA